UACGAAGGGUGCAAACGUUGCUCGGAAUUAUUGGGCGUAAAGCGCGCGCAGGCGGCCUUUUAAGUCUGAUGUGAAAGCCCACGGCUCAACCGUGGAAGGUCAUUGGAAACUGAAAGGCUUGAGUACAGAAGAGGAAAGCGGAAUUCCACGUGUAGCGGUGAAAUGCGCAGAUAUCAGGAAGAACACCCGUGGCGAAGGCGGCUCUCUGGGACGGUACUGACGCUGAGACGCGAAAAGCGUGGGGGAGCGAACAGG
rnacentral:rRNA from 1 species